UACGUAGUGGGCUAGCGUUGUCCGGAAUCAUUGGGCGUAAAGCGCGUGUAGGCGGUCCGGUAAGUCCGCUGUGAAAGUCGGGGGCUCAACCCUCGGAUGCCGGUGGAUACUGUCGGGCUUGAGUACGGAAGAGGCGAGUGGAAUUCCUGGUGUAGCGGUGAAAUGCGCAGAUAUCAGGAGGAACACCAAUUGCGAAGGCAGCUCGCUGGGACGUUACUGACGCUGAGACGCGAAAGCGUGGGGAGCAAACAGG
rnacentral:rRNA from 1 species